AGGCAAUAGAUACCCGGGUAGUCCUGGCCCUAAACGAUGUCCACUAAAUCAUGGGACCUUUGACGGGUUUCAUGGUCGAAAGCAAAAAAGUGCUAAGUGGACCGCCUGGGAAGUACGGUCGCAAGGCUAAAACUCAAAGGAAUUGACGGGGGCUCACACAAGCGGUGGAGCAUGUGGUUUAAAUUCGAAGCAACGCGCAGAACCUUACCUGGGCUUGACAUGCCAGGAUUAUCCUUGUGAAAGCAGGGUACAGCCGCAGGCCGGAACUGGUACAGGUGCUGCAUGGCUGUCGUCAGCUCGUGUCGUGAGAUGUCGGGUUAAGUCCCUUAACGAGCGAAACCUUUGCCCUUAGUUACCAUCGGGUUAUGCCGGGGACUCUAAGGGGACUGCCGGUGUC
rnacentral:rRNA from 1 species